CUGAGAAUGAAGGAAUUAAAGACCAAGACUUCUUCCUCUAUUUUGUGGAGAUGUUUUUGCUCUGAACCAGAUUCUGAAUGGCAGAGUUUACAGAUGCUGGAGUCAUCCAGACACCCAGGCACAAGGUGACAAAGAUGGGACAAGAAGUAACCCUGAAAUGCCAGCCUAUUUCUGGUCAUGAAGGCCUUUACUGGUAUAGUCAGACCUCAGUGCAGGGACUGAAGCUGCUGAUCUACUUCAACAAUCAAUCUCCUAUAGAUGACUCGGGGAUGCCCAAGGAACAGUUCUCAGCAGAGAUGUCUAAAAAAAUCAUUGUCCACCCUGAAGAUCAAGCCCACAGAACCCCAGGACUCAGCCACAUACCUGUGUGCCAGCAGUGUAGACACAGAGCUGCAUAGUCACCCUCUCCCUGUACAGAAACCCUCAAGCUUCCCAUUCUGCCUCAAACCCCCAGUUGUCCUGAGUAAAAGUCUUCCCUGCUCCUUCACCAAGAGAAAUGAGUGGGUUUGGGGGCCUGACAAGGACAGAAAAUGA